CUACAUUAGUUACAUUAACUACUUCAAUUAAAUUAUACGCAAUCUGCACUUACCACAAAUAAGUAAUUAUUCAAUUUUAAUGUGUAUGUCACUUCGCACAUACCAUAAUAAAAACUGGAAAAUAAUAACAUUUUUGUGGAGAGAGUAUAAGAGCUUCGCAUAUUAGGCAAAUUAGUUGAUUUUGGCUUUUAGCGAUGACGACAUGCGUUCGGUGUUUAUAAAGCCAGGACAUAUACACGCAUGCGUAAGUUGUUGCCAGUGUAAGUGUCAGUUGGUGCUGAUAAUUAGCGAUUAAAUUUACCGUGCACUCAACUGUACGUGUUGCAGUCAAGUACUCUGUGGAUGUUGAUGUUGUUGCUAUUGCUGUUGCUGUUACUGUUACUAUUGUUAUUGUUGCCGCGCCGUUUGAGGUUAGGGGCAUGUGGUUAAAGGCAACGACGCUGAUUAACUGGCAGCGGUUGCAGCAAAGUUCAAAGUGAUGGUACAGAGAGCAGCAACCCUACAGUGCCUGGUGUUGCUGUUGAUGUUGGUGUUGCUAUUGAGUCUGGACUAUGGUUAAACAGCAGGUGUGGCUAUUAAACAGCCGCAGGCUCUGUGAAUGCAAUCGCAUUUUGGGCCAGGAUCUGGACGAGUUGCCGAGUCUCCUGUCGCUGCAUUUGCGUGACAUUCCUCCGACUGACCAAAGGCGAAACCAAAGGCCAGCGACAGCUUGAUAAUUUGUUAGGCUGUUGAGUUCCUUGACAUUGACCGGAGACCUCUCUACUUACGGCAGGGUCCUCCUUGGACAAAGUGCAUUGCGGUUUUCACCAGGAUUGUUGCAUGUGGCACGCCAAUGAGCACUGCCCUAAGUAGUGAGGACUCCCAAAAUUAAACACUGUUGACAGCUCGCACUCACAAGCAAUAUGAAGAAUUUGAAUGCAAUGUCCGUGACUGAAGCAGGGUCGAUGUCAAUACUUUGCGAGCGGCAAGCGGCAAUUGGGAUUCGAAUAAUCAGCCUGGUUUUUGGUUAUAACUUGGAAUAAUUUGUGCCUUUGUGGUUAACUCAUUGUUGUUUGCCGAACAAAAGGAUUGACUCUGUUUGGUAUUACGUUUCAGCAUUGACUCAUUUAAAGUGAUCAACGAGCAUAGCACUGUCAAAAAACAUCUGACAACUGACAAGUAAGGUA